rnacentral:rRNA from 1 species
ACCGGCGAACGGGUGCGUAACACGUGAGCAAGCUACCGAUUUCUGGGGGAUAGCCGGCCCAACGGCCGGGUAAUACCGCAUACGUUCACUAGGCGGCAUCGUCUGGUGAGGAAACCUCCGGGGGAAAUCGAGGCGCUCGCGGCCUAUCAGCUAGUUGGCGGGGUAACGGCCCACCAAGGCGACGACGGGUAGCUGGUCUGAGAGGAUGGCCAGCCACAUUGGGACUGCGACACGGCCCAGACUCCUACGGGAGGCAGCAGUGGGGAAUAUUCCGCAAUGGACGAAAGUCUGACGCAGCGACGCCGCGUGUGGGAUGAAGCUCUUCGGGGUGUAAACCACUGUUGCCCGGGACGAACCUCUCCUUUCGAGGAGACUGACGGUACCGGGUGAGGAAGCACCGGCUAACUCUGUGCCAGCAGCCGCGGUAAUACAGAGGGUGCGAGCGUUGUCCGGAAUCACUGGGCGUAAAGGGCGCGUAGGUGGCUUGGUGAGCGUGUGGUGAAAGUCCGGGGCUCAACCCCGGAUCUGCCGUGCGAACUGCUGAGCCUGAGCAUUGUAGAGGCAGGUGGAAUUCCGGGUGUAGCGGUGGAAUGCGUAGAGAUCCGGAAGAACACCAGUGGCGAAGGUGGCCUGCUGGGCAAUAGCUGACACUGAGGCGCGACAGCGCGGGGAGCAAACAGGAUUAGAUACCCUGGUAGUCCACGCCGUAAACGAUGGGUACUAGGUGUCU